CAGUAGCCACGGUAAUACGAAGGGGGCUAGCGUUGUUCGGAUUUACUGGGCGUAAAGCGCACGUAGGCGGAUCAAUCAGUCGGGGGUGAAAUCCCAGAGCUCAACUCUGGAACUGCCUUUGAUACUGUCGAUCUGGAGUAUGGAAGAGGUGAGUGGAAUUCCGAGUGUAGAGGUGAAAUUCGUAGAUAUUCGGAGGAACACCAGUGGCGAAGGCGGCUCACUGGUCCAUUACUGACGCUGAGGUGCGAAAGCGUGGGGAGCAAACAGGAUUAGAUACCCCAGUAGUCCCUGUCUCUUAUAU
rnacentral:rRNA from 1 species